rnacentral:rRNA from 1 species
GACGAACGCUGGCGGCGUGCUUAACACAUGCAAGUCGUACGGUAAGGCCCUUUCGGGGGUACACGAGUGGCGAACGGGUGAGUAACACGUGAGUAACCUGCCCACAACUUUGGGAUAACGCUAGGAAACUGGUGCUAAUACUGGAUAUGUGCUCCUGCUGCAUGGUGGGGGUUGGAAAGCUCCGGCGGUUGUGGAUGGACUCGCGGCCUAUCAGCUUGUUGGUGGGGUAGUGGCCUACCAAGGCGGCGACGGGUAGCCGGCCUGAGAGGGUGACCGGCCACAUUGGGACUGAGGUACGGCCCAGACUCCUACGGGAGGCAGCAGUGGGGAAUAUUGCACAAGGGGCGCAAGCCUGAUGCAGCAACGCCGCGUGCGGGAUGACGGCCUUCGGGUUGUAAACCGCUUUCAGCAGGGACGAAGCUUUUUGUGACGGUACCUGCAGAAGAAGCACCGGCUAACUACGUG